ensembl:lncRNA
CAGUGAUGGUGGAAGAUGAUGUGCGUGUGUUGUUGUGGUGGUAAUGGACAGAGAAAUAAAUCAAAUGAGAUCUAGAGUCCUGCUGCAGUGUCAUUAGGAAUCGUGUCACGCACCUCCACCGAGCCUACGCCGCUGAUGCAGAGCCAUGGUGGGCCAGCUGGAGGAAUCUGAAUUCCCCCUGCGUGCUUUCGAGACGGACUGGAGCUUGAUGGAUUGGAUGGGAGAGGCGCAGUGAUAGCCUGAUCUGCAUCUGGAUAGCACUGAGCAGGAAUAAGAGACUUCUGCUGACACCAGCAUCUACCUCUAGAUCUCCUGCGCAUCUGAUAAUCUUACAGGCACACACACAACAGUCAACAGUCUUCACUAACAUUUAAUUCAAAGUGCAGAUGUAUACAAAGCAUUUCCAACUAUCCUGGAGUUACCUUGUUCAAGGGGUCAAUGAUGGCUAAAGGCUUGAACCAGCUAUUUGAAACUUUUCAGCCAUGAGUAAUAGUUUCUACACCAUCCUUAAUAUUAACAUUGAAGCUGAUGCAAGACCAGGUAAGAGACAUGUGGAUUGGCAGCUUGCCUUGAGUGACGGCCAGGUGUUUCACAGUAUCUGUGAGUCUGAUCAUCCAUCAAAGCGAUCGAUCACAAUCCCAGCGGUUUUUAUUAAUGAUCCUGUCAGCUGGCGCGCUCCACGGUGCCCAUAGUUGUCCAGGAUGAUAGAUCUUUAGUCAGCCUGCCUGUUAUUUAUUCUCUUAUGACCUUGUCCAUAUCUAUUGUUGAGCACACCAAAUUAUGAGUGCUGGGACAUGAUAAUUCAGUGUUCAUCUUGCCGUUUUCAAAAAUGUUGAGCUGGAGUGUCAGAUCAUUUAUAAAAUCAAUUGAACAAUUGCCAUUGCAUAAAGGCUUUGGACAGAGUCAU